UAACAUGCAAGUCGAACGGCAGCACGGACUUCGGUCUGGUGGCGAGUGGCGAACGGGUGAGUAAUGCGCCGGAACGUAUCCAGUAGAGGGGGAUAACGCAGCGAAAGCUGUGCUAAUACCGCAUACGCCCUGAGGGGGAAAGCAUGGGAUCUUCGGACCAUGCGUUAUUGGAGCGGCCGACGUCUGAUUAGCUAGUAGGUGAGGUAAAGGCUCACCUAGGCGAUGAUCAGUAGCUGGUCUGAGAGGAUGAUCAGCCACACUGGAACUGAGAGACGGUCUAGACUCCUACGGGAGGCAGCAGUGGGGAAUUUUGGACAAUGGGCGCAAGCCUGAUCCAGCCAUUCCGCGUGAGUGAAGAAGGCCUUCGGGUUGUAAAGCUCUUUCGGCAGGGAAGAAAAGGUUCUGGUUAAUAGCUGGAACUGCUGACGGUACCUGAAGAAGAAGCACCGGCUAACUACGUGCCAGCAGCCGCGGUAAUACGUAGGGUGCGAGCGUUAAUCGGAAUUACUGGGCGUAAAGGGUGCGCAGGCGGCUCUGUAAGUCUGACGUGAAAUCCCCGGGCUUAACCUGGGAACUGCGUUGGAAACUGUAGAGCUAGAGUGUAGCAGAGGGGGGUAGAAUUCCACGUGUAGCAGUGAAAUGCGUAGAGAUGUGGAGGAAUACCGAUGGCGAAGGCAGCCCCCUGGGUUAACACUGACGCUCAGGCACGAAAGCGUGGGUAGCAAACAGGAUUAGAUACCCUGGUAGUCCACGCCCUAAACGAUGUCAACUAGUUGUUGGGGAGGGAGACCUCCUUGGUAACGCAGCUACGCGUGAAGUUGACCGCCUGGGGAGUACGGUCGCAAGAUUAAAACUCAAAGGAAUUGACGGGGCCCGCACAAGCGGUGGAUUAUGUGGAUUAAUUCGAUGCAACGCGAAAACCUUACCUACCCUUGACAUGUACGGAG
rnacentral:rRNA from 1 species